GAUGAACGCUGGCGGCGUGCCUAAUACAUGCAAGUCGAGCGAACAGAUGAGGGGCUUGCUCCUCUGACAUUAGCGGCGGACGGGUGAGUAACACGUGGGUAACCUACCUAUAAGACUGGGAUAACUUCGGGAAACCGGAGCUAAUACCGGAUAUUAUAUUGAACCGCAUGGUUCAAUAGUGAAAGAGGUUUUUGCUGUCACUUAUAGAUGGAUCCGCGCCCAAUUAGCUAGUUGGUAAGUUAACGGCUUACCCAGUCAACGAUGCGUAGCCGACCUGAGAGGGUGAUCGGGCACACGGGAAAUGAGACACGGUCCAGAGUCCUACGGGAGACGGCAGUAGGGAAUGGUCCGCAAUGGGCGAAAGCCUGACGGAGCAACGCGGCGUGAGGGAUGAAGGUCUUCGGAUCGUAAGACUCUGUUAUUAGGGAAGAACAAAUGUGUAGGUAACUAUGCACGUCUUGACGGUACCUAAUCAGAAAGCCACGGCUAACUACGUG
rnacentral:rRNA from 1 species